CCAUCGGGGGCCUUGUCUGCCGGAUUCGGCCGCGAGGUACGUCGUGCUGGCGCGAAGAAUAGCCUCGGGGCACUUGUAGAAAGAGGGCUGGGACACUGCUCACGGUGAAACGGACAGAGAGUCAUUUCCUUAAUAUGGAAGAUGGCAUCGAUCUUUCCAUGCAACAAAUACUCAAGUCGGCAAUUGGACUGGAUCAUCUACUAUUCAGCAACCUCAGGUCACACAUGUGCUGGAGAUCGUGAAUGCCAUGUAUGUGCAUGCUGGUUACUUCUUCAAGAUCUCGAGUUCGUCCAGUUCCGUCCUACAGUCAUAUAUGGUGCUGGAUGCCUCAUCACAGGAAGAUGUCAUUGCAGCCAAAGAACCAAGUAGGUGAUGGAGCUUGUGGAAAAUGGAUAUAUGUACAAGAGCAUGUGAUAGAAUAUAUGAAUAUCCUGGCCAGCUAGCUACGUUAGUUUUCUCCCUUCCCUGGCAAGUGGCAACAGACCAGUUCCAUAGCACCUUGGUUGGGUGGUGAGGUUGAGAUGUCGCGCGGCAGAGUAGCCAACCAAGGCCUAUUAUUUUUGCAGUCCUAUUGAGGUCUGCCGACAGGUUCAGACUUUCCAGUCAAGGAAUUUAUGCAUUUUCUUCAUGAAACAUACAUCCUGUGGUGAGGGGCUCUCCCCCAUCUCCCGUGUUUCCCCUCUGCAAUUUCCUUAUUUCCACAUCUCCUCUUCCACGUUC